rnacentral:lncRNA from 1 species
AUCUACCUUGGUCAUCUUCACUUGCUUUGUGAAUUUGCACCUGUUUCAGGAGCAUCAUGUCUACCUGGAUGAGCCCAUCAGAGUUCACCACUCAAUGGCAUGUUGUCAACCAGCACAGAGUAAUGCCGUCUUUGAUUGCAAAGUACUGACAAGGAACCAUGCUUUCCUCUGGUUGUAUCACAAGACAGGCAAGAUUCAAGAGGACUGAGGAUUACUUUGGAGAUUGAUUCAUGUAUCCCAGCACCUCCAUCAAUAGGUUGCAAUUGCCACACACACAGCAGGGAGCUGGAAGAGCCACAUGGAGGAGGACACUUACCAUUGGUCUCCAGUGACCGCCUUUAUGCAUUCCAUGUGGACCCGAAGAUGGUGAUCCUGUUGUAGAAGAGCUGCCUCAGCCCCUCUGUUGAACAAAACACCUGACUACCUACUCACCUAAGACCUAACUCUGUCUGCCAUGUCUAACCCUCAUGUCAGAGCUGAUGGACAAGACUCGAAUACCCAUCAUGUGCUGGCUACUUUCAGCUUUUACCAAUAUCCAGGGGUGUAGGAGUCAUCUCUGAAGUGGCAGUCUGCAGGAGGUAAGACUCAGGCCCCAGACAUCCCCCACAGUUUCACUUAAACUUCUA